rnacentral:rRNA from 1 species
AAAGAAACCAACAGGGAUUGCCCUAGUAACGGCGAGUGAAGCGGCAACAGCUCAAAUUUGAAAUCUGGCGUAAGCCCGAGUUGUAAUUUGUAGAGGAUGCUUCUGGGUAGCGGCCGGUCUAAGUUCCUUGGAACAGGACGUCAUAGAGGGUGAGAAUCCCGUAUGUGACUGGCCCGCACCCUCCACGUAGCUCCUUCGACGAGUCGAGUUGUUUGGGAAUGCAGCUCUAAAUGGGAGGUAAAUUUCUUCUAAAGCUAAAUACUGGCCAGAGACCGAUAGCGCACAAGUAGAGUGAUCGAAAGAUGAAAAGCACUUUGGAAAGAGAGUUAAAAAGCACGUGAAAUUGUUGAAAGGGAAGCGCCCGCAACCAGACUUUACGGCGGUGUUCGGCUGGUCUUCUGACCGGUUUACUCACCGCCGUAAGGCCAUCAUCGUCUGGGACCGCUGGAUAAGACCUGAGGAAUGUAGCUCCCUUCGGGGUGUGUUAUAGCCUCUAGGUGAUGCAGCGCGUCUCGGGCGAGGUCCGCGCUCCGGCAAGGAUGAUGGCGUAAUGGUUGUCGGCGGCCCGUCUUGA